rnacentral:lncRNA from 1 species
UCUGCCUCCUCUGCCUCCCAAGUGCUGGGAUUACAGGCAUGCGCCACCACUGCCUGGCGAGCCCUGUCUGUCUUGUUGUGUCCUGCUGUGUUGUGUUCUGUUUUGUUUGUGGCCCUGGGAUCAAACACAGGUCCUCGCACAAGCUGGGAAAGUGUUCUGUGUCCACGCUGCAGCCACACCAAGCGCAAGCAUCUUUGAAAUUCUGCGGCUUGCAGAGAAGAUCUUGCACAUGCUAGUAAAUUUUGUAAUUGAUCAAAACUCAAAAUUAAAGUAGAGAGUGAUUGAGGAAGAUACCCAACGUCGACCUCUGAUCUCAGCACACGAACUGCAUAUGGAGUGUGGUCCUGUACACAGUGAGACUGCCCACCAGCAGGCAUUUUCUGCCAAUCCUCUCUGCUCUCCGUAACUGCACGUGGGUGUUGGCUGCUGAGCAGGGGGCAGAUGCCUCACAGCAAGUGGAAGCCCAGAGCUGUAUGGGUUGCCCCGUUCUCGUGGAAUGACAUGAAGGGGCUGCUCUAGGACGCUGUCUGGGAGACCAUUUCCCCUGAAGAAAAAGUGAGAUUCUCCUAUGUGCUGUUUUGACUUCCUACCUCACUGAGUCAUACAGGCGCAGCCUCUACUCAGCUAUCCUACCUACAG